UCUUGCAAACAUUGUCCUCCAAAUAACAAAAUAAAACAAAAAUUGUUGCCCUACUACUUUAGAUUCAAGUAGUACUAUACCAAAUUCCAUCGCCAUCCCUGUCCCAAAAAAAUCUACUACACUAUCUAUACUAGCCACCAUUAAAAAAAAAUAAAUCUACUACAAUACUACCUACUACCUGUCACAUUUUUUUCUACUACUCGAAAUGAAUAAAAAUCGAAACAACUAGUAUCCAAAAUUCUAUAAAUUCAUAUCAUUUUCCUUCACCAACUUACACCAAACCAUACCAAGUGUAAAAGAGAAAACCCCUAUAUAAAAAAAAAGAAAUAUCCCAAACGCAUGCUCACUCUAUCCAACAUUUACAAAAAAAAAAUCUUUUAACCACUGCAGAAAGCAAAAUAUCGAUUUUCAGCAGCACACAAGGUAGUUCUCGAGGUAGUUUGUGUGAUUCGUCGUUUGUGUGUGCUAAUUUUUUUUCGCGAAAAAAUCCAUCUAAAAAAUAUAAUAUUACAAAUAAAUUCAUAUUUAUUUGUUUAAUUUAAUGCAAAUGAUACAAUAAAUCAAAGAAAAAACAACACUCGUCUGUCUGCCUGUGUGUGAGUGAGUCUGCUUGAAAAAAAAGCAGUUUGUUGGGAAAAAGUAAAAGAACACUCCCAUCUUCGAAGUUAAGUCAAGUGUCGUUUGUUCGAAAAGAAGAAAAAAAUCAUAAAAUAUCGACAAAAAUCGACUAAAAUAUUCAAUUGUAAUCUUGUCAAGUGCUAAGUUUGAACAAUUAGCAAAUCUAGUACGUCCCUCGCGCCGCCGAGUGCGAAAAACCCGUGUCUCACAAAACGAACCGACGACGAAAGUGAGUCAUAAAAAGUUUUUUUUUUUUCUUUCCAUUUUUUUUUCAAAUAUUUCUUCUUCAGAGUUUCCCAAAUCGAACAAAAAAAAAAGAACCUAUGAAGACUCUGGAGACAAAAAGUGUUGAAUCGAAUUUCUGAAUAAGUGCGUGCGACUCCGUGAAAAGGAGACACGGGAACGACACACGAAAAAAAAGACACUCUCUGACCACCAACGCCUCCCACCUUCCUUUUUUUUCUUCUUCUCAUCUCUUCUCUUCUUCCAAGAGAAUAGAGAGAAAACCAUCAUCAAAUUUAGACCUUAACUUAAAAAAAAAAAACUUAACUUAACCUCAAACAAACUCUUUUUAAAAAAAAGUUCAAUUCAAAAUGACAAAAGACAGAUUAGCAGCGUUACACGCUGCUCAAUCCGAUGACGAAGAUGUCGCCCAAGACGAUGUCGCUGUCAAUGUCGAAGGACGCGACGGCUACAUGGAUGACUUCUUCAAUCAAGUCGAAGAAAUUCGCGAAAUGAUUGACAAAGUCCAAGACAAUGUUGAAGAAGUUAAAAAGAAACAUAGCGCCAUUUUAUCAGCCCCACAAUCUGAUGAAAAAACUAAACAAGAAUUAGAAGAUUUAAUGGCUGACAUUAAAAAGAAUGCCAACAGAGUUCGUGGCAAACUGAAGGGCAUCGAACAAAAUAUCGAACAAGAAGAACAAGCUAAUAAAUCGAGUGCUGAUUUGCGUAUACGCAAAACUCAACAUUCUACACUGUCACGAAAAUUUGUCGAAGUUAUGACCGAAUAUAAUCGUACUCAAACUGAUUAUCGAGAACGUUGUAAAGGUAGAAUACAGCGGCAGCUGGAAAUUACCGGUCGAGCAACGACUAACGAUGAAUUGGAAGAUAUGUUGGAACAAGGUAAUCCAGCUGUUUUCACUCAAGGUAUUAUAAUGGAGACACAACAAGCCAAACAAACUCUAGCCGAUAUUGAAGCUCGACAUGCUGAUAUUAUGAAGCUAGAGACUUCAAUUAAGGAAUUGCAUGAUAUGUUUAUGGAUAUGGCAAUGUUGGUAGAGUCACAGGGUGAAAUGAUUGAUCGUAUUGAAUAUCAUGUGGAACAUGCAAUGGAUUAUGUGCAAACUGCAACACAGGAUACAAAGAAGGCAUUGAAAUAUCAGAGUAAAGCGCGGCGAAAGAAGAUUAUGAUUUUGAUUUGUUUGACUGUGUUGGGUAUAAUGGCUGCAUCAUAUGUUAGCAGUUAUUUCAUUUUUAAGUAAUAAUGAUGAGAAUCCCCUGCAUGAGAGAGGUGCUCUUGUCGUCUCUACUGAUACAUUGACUAACCCUCAAACCACCACCGCCCACUCAGUCAACCAAAUAAGAAUAACAACAACAAAUAAGGGAUAAAAUCAGUCAAUCGUCGUCGUCGUCGUCGUCGUCGUCGUCAUUAUUAUGGUCAUCAAUAUCAUCAUCAUCAUUCAACAACAAAACCAACCUCCUCCUCCUCCUCGAUCUUCGUCUUCUUGAUUAUUCGUUGGUCGUUUUAUAUUUAAAUGGGCUUAAGAUACAGUGCAUCAAGUAAUCCAUCCAACUUUUUUGACUCAACCAAAAUCAACUGACAGACACAACCCACAACCACCUUACUCAACCAAACAAGUAAAACGAAAAAAAAAAAAAAAAAAUCACCAAACAACAACAACAACAAUUGCUCGACUUCAUUCUGCAAUAAACAGGAGGACAGUCUGUCAGUAUGGAAUCGUACGGCUACUGACAUCGCCAGUACGACACGAAUCCGCGACACACUACGUAGAAUAUUAAAUCUACCUCUUAAUACUUUAAUGGAGUAUAAGAUUCACUGUGAUAGCCUUAAAUAUGUAGCAAU